AACGAACGCUGGCGGCAUGCCUAACACAUGCAAGUCGAACGAGACCUUCGGGUCUGGUGGCGCACGGGUGCGUAACACGUGGGAAUCUGCCCUUUGCUUCGGAAUAACAGUUAGAAAUGACUGCUAAUACCGGAUGAUGUCGAAAGACCAAAGAUUUAUCGGCAAAGGAUGAGCCCGCGUAGGAUUAGGUAGUUGGUGGGGUAAAGGCCUACCAAGCCGACGAUCCUUAGCUGGUCUGAGAGGAUGAUCAGCCACACUGGGACUGAGACACGGCCCAGACUCCUACGGGAGGCAGCAGUGGGGAAUAUUGGACAAUGGGCGAAAGCCUGAUCCAGCAAUGCCGCGUGAGUGAUGAAGGCCUUAGGGUUGUAAAGCUCUUUUACCAGGGAUGAUAAUGACAGUACCUGGAGAAUAAGCUCCGGCUAACUCCGUG
rnacentral:rRNA from 1 species